UAUCCCUAAGGAACAUCUCUAUAAUGCCUCAGUGCUUCCGGUCCUUCCUUUCUCGAAAGCACUGCGAAGGCUGCCGGCAGCGUGGUUGUUCCUUUCGCGAGUUGGUGUCUGGCGCACAGCGCGAACGUCUCAUGAGCAAGAAGCCGUAGAGACGAUGCUCUCAAUGUUGGACACCGAAGUGAGGCAACUCAUCGGGCACAACGCCAGAAUGUUGAUGUCCCUGUUGUGUCCUGGCCCUGGGUCACGCGUGUCGCGCCUUGACAGCCGUGACCUUGAACGACCUUGACCGGCCGGGCCGGGCCGAGCGGCCGAGGGUCAGUAUCGUCCGAGCGGCGCUGGUGUCAACACAGCUGAGUGCCGCGAGGUGAGGUGAGGCGUGUUCGCCGAGACGGUCCGGCCACAGUGAAAUAGUGAAAUAGUGGUGUAAUCGAUAAUAUGCGUGGCCAGUACGCGAGUGAGAUUGACCCUGUGCGCGACACCGAUUCAGAGACGCACAUAAGUUAACACCGUCGUGUCGGAUCGCUCGUACCGGUGAUGGGAGACAACGAGAAGCUGGAGCGUCUGAUGGCGCUCAUGGUUCAGCAGUCAGCAGGCUGCCAUGCUGGAGUAACUCCUCCCCAGCCAGAUGCAGCUACCAGCUGCGCAAACUGUCUAGAGCGGCCAACCGGCUGUCGUCGCCUCCGCCGCUCCUAUGGCUAGACUUCGGUCUCGCAUGGACUCCCGUCGGUAGUGUUCACAUGCCAGCCCAUACAUUUUACCUGUAUUAACUUUUUAAUGUCUGUGCCUGUGUAACUAUUGUACGUGCCUGUACUUAACAGUGUUUGAAUUGUACAACAUCGUUCGCACAGUCUGUGGACCGUGGGGAACGCCGCUUGACAUGCAUUUUUGCACUUACCUGCAUUCCGUGUUAAAAGUAAAGUAAAGGGACUGAGCUGUCGUGCACCGGGAGAUAUUAUGGUCUCUUGCUAAACGACUCGGUUGAAACUCAGCACGCUGGUCGGUACUGACUGGGGCGGCAAGCGAAAGGGUUUGGGCAGCUUUUGAAACAAAAUGUUCGCAUCGAAUGACUGCAUCGCAUGUUCUGUUCCAGAGUGAGUUUUUUGACAUCUGACACAAUAAAUAUACAUGCCUGUUCUU
rnacentral:lncRNA from 1 species